rnacentral:rRNA from 1 species
UACGUAGGGUGCAAGCGUUAAUCGGAAUUACUGGGCGUAAAGCGUGCGCAGGCGGUAAUGUAAGACAGUUGUGAAAUCCCCGGGCUCAACCUGGGAACUGCAUCUGUGACUGCAUUGCUGGAGUACGGUAGAGGGGGAUGGAAUUCCGCGUGUAGCAGUGAAAUGCGUAGAUAUGCGGAGGAACACCGAUGGCGAAGGCAAUCCCCUGGACCUGUACUGACGCUCAUGCACGAAAGCGUGGGGAGCAAACAGG